GCUUCCGUGGCUCAGUUGGUUAGAGCGCCAGUCUCAUAUCUUAUAUAUGACCACAGAUCUGGAGGUCACCAGUUCGACCCUGGUCGGGAGCA